AUUGAACGCUGGCGGAAUGCUUUACACAUGCAAGUCGAGCGGCAGCGCGGGGGCAACCCUGGCGGCGAGCGGCGAACGGGUGAGUAACACAUCGGAACGUACCCUGUCGUGGGGGAUAACGGAUCGAAAGAUUCGCUAAUACCGCAUACGACCUGAGGGUGAAAGCGGGGGAUCGCAAGACCUCGCGCGAGAGGAGCGGCCGAUGUCGGAUUAGCUAGUUGGUGAGGUAAAGGCCCACCAAGCCAACGAUCUGUAGCUGGUCUGAGAGGACGACCAGCCACACUGGAACUGAGACACGGUCCAGACUCCUACGGGAGGCAGCAGUGGGGAAUUUUGGACAAUGGGCGAAAGCCUGAUCCAGCCAUUCCGCGUGCAGGAUGAAGGCCCUCGGGUUGUAAACUGCUUUUGUACAGAACGAAAAGGUUUCUACUAAUACUAGGAGCUCAUGACGGUACUGUAAGAAUAAGCACCGGCUAACUACGUGCCAGCCGCCGCCGUAA
rnacentral:rRNA from 1 species